rnacentral:lncRNA from 1 species
AGUGAUCCUAUGUGAUUUGUUAGACUGAGUUCUAAGACCUUGGCCAGGGCAGUAAUAUAAAGUGGAGAAAGAGUUUUCCACUAUCGAACUCGAGUCAAAUAAAUCUUGACAUAUAACAGACGAAGAGGUUUGACGAGUUAUCCAUGACCUCCGUCCUGUAGGGAUCCACGAUAGAAGGACUGUAUCACAUGAUAACUGC